GACGAACGCUGGCGGCGUGCUUAACACAUGCAAGUCGAACGGAGAGGCCCUGCUUUUGUGGGGUGCUCGAGUGGCGAACGGGUGAGUAACACGUGAGUAACCUGCCCUUGACUUUGGGAUAACUUCAGGAAACUGGGGCUAAUACCGGAUAGGAGCUCCUGCUGCAUGGUGGGGGUUGGAAAGUUUCGGCGGUUGGGGAUGGACUCGCGGCCUAUCAGCUUGUUGGUGGGGUAGUGGCUUACCAAGGCUUUGACGGGUAGCCGGCCUGAGAGGGUGACCGGCCACAUUGGGACUGAGAUACGGCCCAGACUCCUACGGGAGGCAGCAGUGGGGAAUAUUGCACAAUGGGCGGAAGCCUGAUGCAGCAACGCCGCGUGCGGGAUGACGGCCUUCGGGUUGUAAACCGCUUUCGCCUGUGACGAAGCGUGAGUGACGGUAAUGGGUAAAGAAGCACCGGCUAACUACGUG
rnacentral:rRNA from 1 species